rnacentral:rRNA from 1 species
AGGACGAACGCUGGCGGCGUGCUUAACACAUGCAAGUCGAGCGGAAAGGCCCUUCGGGGUACUCGAGCGGCGAACGGGUGAGUAACACGUGAGUAAUCUGCCCCUAGCUCUGGGAUAGCUCCGGGAAACCGGGAUUAAUACCGGAUACGACCACCUUAGACAUCUUUUGUGGUGGAAAGAAUUUCGGCUAGGGAUGAGCUCGCGGUCUAUCAGCUUGUUGGUGGGGUAACGGCCUACCAAGGCGACGACGGGUAGCCGGCCUGAGAGGGCGACCGGCCACACUGGGACUGAGACACGGCCCAGACUCCUACGGGAGGCAGCAGUGGGGAAUAUUGCGCAAUGGGCGAAAGCCUGACGCAGCGACGCCGCGUGGGGGAUGAAGGCCUUCGGGUUGUAACCCCUUUCAGCAGGGACGAAGCGAAAGUGACGGUACCUGCAGAAGAAGCGCCGGCUAACUACGCGCCAGCGAGCCGC